rnacentral:ncRNA from 1 species
CGGUUAAGAGGGCUGCCAUUCGCGGUCCGCGGAGGUUUACUCCUCCCUUAUCCG